rnacentral:lncRNA from 1 species
CUUGGAUAUAUGAGGGAAUGGGGCGGGGAAAUGAGGAUAGAGGGCCAGGGCAGUUCAAAGAGAGUCCCACAGGCUGUGGUCAGAAAAUUUCAUCUUAUCCCACAAGCUGUGAGGAACCAGGGAAGAUGUUAAGCUUCGGAGUAUUAAAGUCAGAGUAAUAAACAUGGAAAGAAGCAAGAAGAGAAGGGUGUGCUGUGUUUUGAAAGGCCAGGUUGCAGUGUGGAAGAAGGCCUGGGGAGAGAGCCUCUGAGGUCUCUGGCCUGUGUUGGCUGGGGGGGUUGCAAGAAAAGGAAUUAAAGUGUGGAAAAGGACCAGCAAGCAACACAUUAUGUUAAAAGGUUGGUGGAUGAUGACGCAUUCAAGCAAUUAACAUGAGAGAGGAAACGGCUUGGCAGGGAAGAUAAAUUCAGUUUGGGACUUACUGGGGUUGAGAAAGUUUGGGAGAUCCACGUGGAUAUGUUGGUAGAUGCUUGAAAAUACAGUGGAUGCUGCUAAAGGAAGGUAUGAGGCUUAGAGCUCUGGCUACCACUGUGACUGUGAGUGGGCACUGAUGCUGAUCCACUGAGCAGCAAAGCGUGGAAAGAUAGAAAGAACCUGGAUCAUUGUGACAUCACUGAGCUGUUGCAACCAUCCUGUACCACCAGACCUCUUGUUACCUACAAUAAUUAAAUGUCAUUAUUGUUUAAGCUAUUGUCAUUAGAGCAUUGUAUUACCUGAAAUAAAA